GUACACGCUGUGACUAGCAUAUCAAUAAGCGGAGGAAAAGAAACUAACAAGGAUUCCCCUAGUAACGGCGAGUGAAGCGGGAAGAGCUCAAAUUUGAAAUCUUAAAGGGUUUCCCUUUACGAAUUGUAGUUUAAAGAAGUGUUUUCUGUUGAGGUUUUGGUAAAAGUUCUUUGGAAUAGGACAUCAUAGAGGGUGAGAAUCCCGUAUUUGACCUUUACUUUCAACUUUGUGAUACACUUUCAAAGAGUCGGAUUGUUUGGGAAUGCAGUCCAAAAUGGGUGGUAAAUUUCAUCUAAAGCUAAAUAUUGGCGAGAGACCGAUAGCGAACAAGUACCGUGAGGGAAAGAUGAAAAGAACUUUGAAAAGAGAGUUAAACAGUACGUGAAAUUGUCAAAAGGGAAGCGUUUGACACCAGUGUUGUUUUUCUGAAAAUCAAUUAAAGAACUGUUUAUGCUAAGCUGUUUAGACUUUAUCAGCUAUCUGUUUAGUUUUGAGCUUUUCUUUAAUGCACUUUUCAGUUAACAAGUCAACAUCAAUUUCUUUUGCUGUAAAAAAGCUUGAGGAAGGUGGCUUGAGAUUCGUCUUAAGUGUUUAUAGCCUCUUGCCUAUGCAGUCGGAGAGAUUGAGGUCUGCAGCGUAGAUCCUUCGGGGCUAAAUGCAUUUGUGCUAAGUUAUAGCAUUUUAUAGACAACUUGUUGACUAUGAUUUGUCUUGUAGCUUACUCGCUUAUGUUAUUUUACCUACGCUUAGGAUGUUGACGAGACUGUCGAUCUC
rnacentral:rRNA from 1 species